CUCACAACGUUUGUUGCAUGGUGGACUGGUGGUUGCACAUACCGACAUCCACAACAAGGUGUUGUUUUAUCGCUCCCUCAAAGAUUUUGCAACAGAGUUGCAAGCUCAAUUGGUAAUAGUCUAAUUGGUUUAGUGGAUAAUUGCGGCAUGCAUCCAAUUGUAUUUGCUUGGGCGGUGGUGGAUUACAAUAUGGGAUCCACCAUCUGAAUGCAAUUUUUUGCAUGCUUUCGAUAAAUGGAUUUCAUAAAAAAAGUCAUGAUGACACUUCUGCAUGUCUUUCCAGAUGGCACAUGUUUUCGGAUAUGAUAUUAGUAUGAAUUUUUAUUCGAAGUUGUGUUCGCGGUAUCCUGUCAGUUUUUUAUUUUCACAUGGAAAUGAGUCUUUUUUAUCAAGUGAUCUGAAAUUUUCUAACUAUUUCUUCCUGGUCUUGGAUGUGCUGAGCCGCUGAGCGAAUAAACAUGUACGUAUUGCUUUAUACUGAAGGGCGUGCAUUUUUGUUGGGUCAUCUGAGUUCCAGUAGUGACCAACUUCAGUUGCGGAGAGGAUUAGAGCUUCAGAAACAACUGAAAGAUGGUGUCUUUCUGCUAACACACUUUACAACAUUAUUCACGUAACAACUGGCUCAGUACUGGUGUGUUAAAUAUCUUGUUCCUUUCACAGAACUGGAAUCGCGUCUAUUGUUUAAUGCCAGCUACAGACAAUUGUGUAUUUUUGUUGGUGCAUAAGUAUCAGUUUGAAUAACAUCUAUGCUUCAGCGCUCUGGAAUAAGUACUUGUUGGAAGUACGUCCCCUUUGUUCUCUGUAUCUUAUCUUCUGAUUCAAAUUUCCAAUUGUAUAAGAACAUUUGCUGGCGUUAUUUCCAAGGGGUGUGUUUUGAUCA